AUGGAGACAAUGUCUACUCUAGAGGAAUCUCGUCUCAUCGGGAGAGGGAAUCAAAAAGAGGAAAUCAUCAAAUUAAUCUCAAAUAAAGAUCUCCAGCAUUUUCAUGUGUUCUCCUUGUGGGGAAUGGGUGGUAUUGGGAAAACAACACUAGUGACAGAUAUUUAUCAAACCCAAGAGAUUAGUAGCAUGUUUGAUAAGCAUGCUUGUGUCACAGUCAUGCGCCCUUUCAACUCAGCAGCACUCCUUGAGAGCUUAAUUAUGCAAUUCAGAGAUAAGAAUGAAGAUACAAAUGAGAUAGAUUUAAGGAGAUAUUUACAAGGAAAGAGAUAUUUGCUUGUUAUCUCGGGCAAGUAA
rnacentral:rRNA from 1 species